rnacentral:rRNA from 1 species
AAUGAACGCUGGCGGCAUGCCUAACACAUGCAAGUCGAACGAAGGCUUCGGCCUUAGUGGCGCACGGGUGCGUAACGCGUGGGAAUCUGCCCUCAGGUUCGGAAUAACAGCGAGAAAUUGCUGCUAAUACCGGAUGAUAUCGCGAGAUCAAAGAUUUAUCGCCUGAGGAUGAGCCCGCGUAGGAUUAGCUAGUUGGUGUGGUAAAGGCGCACCAAGGCGACGAUCCUUAGCUGGUCUGGGAGGAUGAUCAGCCACACUGGGACUGAGACACGGCCCAGACUCCUACGGGAGGCAGCAGUGGGGAAUAUUGGACAAUGGGCGAAAGCCUGAUCCAGCAAUGCCGCGUGAGUGAUGAAGGCCUUAGGGUUGUAAAGCUCUUUUACCCGGGAUGAUAAUGACAGUACCGGGAGAAUAAGCUCCGGCUAACUCCGUGCCAGCAGCCGCCGCCG